GAUCACAAGGAGCCCGGCAGCAAUAGUGUGUUUGACGGCCGCACCAAGGAUGUGUUUGAGAACUAUAACAAGAAGAGGAUUGUGAUUCAGAACUGAAGAAGAGAGUGCAAACAUCAAAUGACGAUAACCUGCUUCGAUUGCAGAAAGUCGUAACACAAGUCAAGGGUCUCAUUUUCGCCGCAACAAGCGUACUCAUAAUUUUAAACAUUUGUGCGGGUUUCGACCUACUGUCCCCGGUACAGUGGAAGCAGUUUCAACAAAUAAUGGCUAUUUUCAGAAACAAUCUGGCUCCGGCAUCAGUUUUCAGGACUGUCAAUUAACUUGUCGUCAUCAUCAUGUGAUAUCUAGUAGUCAGGGGAAACUAAACAUAAACCUAAAACAGCUCUUGAAAGUGUCAAAUAGCAGCGUAACGUAGAGAUCGCGGGCUUGGUCAGUGUAAUCCCCCGCAGGCUCAGGGUAAAGACAGUAUGCCAACAACAAAACAAGUAAGACAGUAAGUAUGCAGUGCGGAUUAAACAUAGGUGACAAACCCUGUAUGCUUAAGAUUGACCCCUUGUGAUUUAUUCAGUUGGCACGAGUGGAUUGAGGAAAUAUUGAAUAAUAAGUUAUUUUUAAUGCCCGUCGGGGGAAAGCGGGAACUGGCGAAGUAAGCACAUUUUUAGAUAAUGAUAGUUAAAUCAGGCCUAUUUUUGGAAGUAGCUGUGCUCAAAUUUCAACCCUUUUUCGAUGACUUCCAUUUCGGUCGAAUAUCCUUCCUGAGAAGAAAUGGCUGGAGAAAUAGUGGUAGGUGUGUUUAAAGCCACUAUUGGUUUGCUCAUGGAUGAGGGCCGUGACUGGUUAGCGGAAAAACUCAAGGAAGGCGAUGUGACGGAUGAAAAAUUUCGUGACUGGAUCAUUCGGGAAAUCAAUGCUAUGAAUUUGAAGUUAGAUGCAAUCGCUUGGAAGGACCUUGGAGCAAGCAUGAACUUUUUCAAGGAAGGACUCUCGCUGAUGUAUAAAGUGCUUGAAAAAGUAAACGACAGCGAGCACGGUAUGGUACAUGAGGCAUCAAUUGAGACGUUACACGCCUGCUCUCUUUCUUCUACAGCUGGUCAAACUACGGUUUGUCUUGCUGAGGGAAUGAAGAACUUUACGCUGACUGAUUCAGAUGAAUCGAAGAAAGAGGCACUGUAUGAUGCGAAAAAGAGAUUCAAGGAUGCCCGCAAGAAAGCAACCGAGGCCUUCAGCAACUCGGCACUGCGGCCGGCGGAGCGAGUGUUAGCCAUGCAGUAUCGUAUUAUGGCGACAUUACUCGAGAAAGUGGACAACCCUGCUAGUGCAUUAACCGCGUGUAAACUGUGCUUAGAACAGCUUCACGCUAUGACGUUGGUUCAGAAAAGUCUUAAAGUGGAACUCAAGAAAAGUUUCAAGUUUUUGCUGAGCAGAGAUGAACGCAGGGAAAUCAUUUCUGCCGUUUGCCAAAUAAAUCACGUCGUCUACGUUAUUGCCGAGAUGGUUGGCGAUCUUAAAACAGUCUUGAACUGGCCAUGUAUCAUACUCGGAGAAGAGCAGCUUGAUCCCUUGCGUGACGUACGUGUGGUGAAGGUGAUGAGAAAACUUCAUAAGCAACAAUCUGGUGCAUUGAGGUCAUUUGGUCAGGAGGAGGGCCACGAGCUAAAGGGUCCUCAAAGUAUCGCCGCAAACACUCGAGGACAGCUUGUUGUAACAGACAACAUGAAUUGUGAAUUAAAAGUGUAUGACAGUAAGGGCAAGUGCUUGUCCCAUUGCCCACUUCUUGGCAACGAUGACAAGGCUGCAGUGGUGAGAGUUCGAAGUGUAGCGACAGAUCAGAAUGACAGAAUGUACAUUCUGGUAGACUCCAGGCCAGCUAAUACUGUGUAUGUGCUCAGCGACACACACACGAAUAGAAAUUGUUUUUCUCUGGAGGAGAGACUAGGAGGCCGCUCUUUGACAGUAAACAACAACAAUCAAGUACUUGUCUUGGUGGAGGAAGAUCUGAGCAAAACCCCGAGUGCAUGCAUGACGAUCUCCAUCGAAUGUAAAGUAGAAGUGUACCGCCCUAAUGGACGACUUGUACGCAGCUUUGGACAGGGAAUAUUAAAAGAUACUGUCGAUAUCACAGCUACUAAUGAUGGCAGUGUUAUGGUGCUACAAGGAAAUUCUUGUGUUCACGUGUUCGACGCUGAAGGAAGCCAUGUCCACCAGUUCCAAGUGAUGGGCAAUACUGGCCCUGAAACAGGCGCUGCAAUGACAUUUCACCAGGCAACCGAUCAUACGUUUAUUGCUUCAACAAAUUCAGACCAUCGCCUCCAGGUCUCGAUACACGGCAAAGAUGGCGUCUUUCUUCGCAGCAUUCAACUCCACGAGAAAGGGAAGUGGUGCAUUACGGGAAUCGCAGUCACCAUGCAGCUGAACAUUGCUGUGUCCAUAUACGAUGAAUGUCAAGAGGACAGUACAGUACUGGUUGCUUGAUGUGGUCUGCAACUGAAUAUUGCUCUUUAUUAGGCUAUAAAUUACAAACACAAACACAAGCGGUAUUGUUAUGUCUGGCUGAAGAUAAUCGAAACAAGUUAGCUCAACCUUGAAUUCCCUGCAAUCGAGCUCUAGACUACCUGGGGAGCUUUUCGGCAAAGCUUCACAAAAUUAAGUACAACUUGUUCUUUUAUUGAAAUGUGAAAUUUUAAAAGAGAAUUGCAUUUUUCCAACCGAUUGGCACGAAACUCUUUCAUUUUAUAAUUAACAGCCAUAAGGGGUUUUUCCUUUCCAAAACUGGAAUGAAUGGCAUGGUUUUCCGGUCGAACAGGAAAAUUUGCCCGGAAGGGAAAUUUCCCUUGACAAGAUCAGCGACGUGUAUGACUAAUGAUUCAUAAUUGUGUUGCCUCAAACGAAGUACUUAAGAUAUAUAUCUUAUAAACCAGACGCGAGGGCCGUGAUGCCAGAAUAUUGGCCCAAGACGGUUCUUGCAUGAGAGUGCGGACCGCGGGCAGCGAGGUCCGUACAGUAAAGUCCAAAGGCAGAUAUUCUACCCUGUGCAGUCCCGAGCAAACUUGGUUAAUAUUAGACUUAUUACAUAAUUAUUUAUAGCUCGAUAACAAUUUUUAAAAUUGAUUUUUUUAAAAAGUAAGGAAUGUUAUUUGUAUUCAGUAGUAUUUUUUAAGACUGGAACUUGGCAAGUCAGUGUAAUCUUAAAAGGGGCUAUGUCUCGGUAGACUAUUUUGAGUCAAUUCUUCUGAUGAGCAGAAUUGUCUUUAGAAUGUGAAGUAACCUCGAGAUAAAAGCUUUCCACGGUAGCAGGCACCAAAAAGUGAAACUAAGAGUAAACAAGAAGGGCUAAACUGACAAAGGUUAGGAAAGAUUUCCUGUCAAACUCGAAAAAGUUGGCCAAUGUUUUUCUAAGACGCGCCUUCCGAGAGGUAGCGCGUUAUCCGGCUUAUCCAGUGCUUCCACUUCAACAUGUUUUAUCUACUCGCUUGCUCAUCACAAAAUAUGCUUCUAGAAAGUUACCGUGGACCGCCUAGCGUGCAAGAAGGCUCACCUCGUAGCUUGACGCUGUCUAAUUACAAGAAAAAUGUGACAGCCAAUGUGAAAACUAUGGUUGUUCGUAGUGUGUGGGCAUAUCAAAAAUUACGGCUACUGAGACGUAAUUCCUGGCUUCAAAAUGCAGGUAAGAGCCGCAUCGUUUGAGAACUUUGCACUAGUGUUGUUCAUUGAUUUCAGAUUCUCAAAGUUCCCCGGCCUUUUAAUUUUCGGCGGUAACUCGGCGCUUUUCGUUUUGCCGCGUUACAAUUUCUGCCGCGUUUUCUUCAUUCCGCGCCCCAACUACACUCUUUUAUAAUGCUUUUUUUCCGGCCGAGGCUGAAUAUUCAUAUAUUUCUACCGAUUUUAGGCUGGAAAUAUUCUUGUGAAUAUUCUUAGAUUAUAGCGCAUGACAUUUCUGUUUUGGAAUGUAUUUGGUGUCUGGACGGUGUUGAAGUGAUCUUGGAGCCAGCCUGCGGGCAUUAAAGGCUGAUAUGAGUACAUAAAAUCUUGCAGAAAUCUUAAUUCAGGGCCGUAGCCAGAAACAAAUUAUGACUGAGGCAGUGUCCUAGAAAUGAGUUGUGACUGAGGCAAUGUCCAUGGUUUCAUUCUCUUCAUGGGAGUUUAGGGUGUUUUGGUGACUUUAAACAACAAAAACGAAAAAUAUGACUGGGGCAAGUGCCUCGUUUUGCCAGUUACUAGCUACGGCCCUGCAAUUAUUAGCAUCGUACAUACGGAUAGGGCUGUUUUUGUUCCUUUUUGGCUAGUUUUGCGAUUUAUUAGUUAGAGAAAGGAAGAAUUUGAUACGAUUUAGUUAAAAACAUAAUUCUGUUGUAUUUUUGAACACAAAAUUAUGUUCUUUUUGGCAAAAUCCUAGCCUCGACUUUAAUCUUAAGAUAAUCUUAAAAUUUCGCAAAUUUCAGCUUCGAUACCCCUUUAAAAUAUAUUCUUCUAAAAUAAAAGAGAGAGAGAAAAGAGUGUAAUAAACUUUUCACUUCACGGUGUAUCGAUAAACUGAAUCUUUAUACACUGAGUUUGUUAUGAUUCCAGAUUACCACUACGAGAAGAAACAUAUCUAGUGCUAUCUUUUCGAAGCCGGCUUACUUAAUUUUCGACGUAUUCUUUGAAUUACCAAAAAUGCAACAGUUUUUGGAAGAAAAGUUGCCGAUUUCUUCAGUGAUCAGCUCUCCAAGUCUGAAAAGUAUCCCAAGAGCUCUUUGUCGAUCACGCCAAUGCCGUCGUUUACUGAUCAGUUUGCUUAGCUUGGCAAAGCCGUCUGCCAGGAAUACCGCUUUCUCCUCGGAAAACCAAUCCUGAAGCGCUAGAUUCCUGUUGAAAAGUCAAGUUUGUGUUGCCGCUUUACCCUGUCCUAUUUUUACCCUUGCCGGAACAGUCGGACCAUUCCUUCGCUUAGGAAACACAACACACAUGAACUUCUUUCUCAUUCUAAAGUUAAGCAAACAAAGUAGAAAAAUCGGUAUUAAUUUUGCGGUUUCCUGUCCUUUUACAGUUCGAAACUCCAAGAAUCCGGCAAUUCUGUUCUUUUUUUCCCCUUUUUUCAGAUCUGACGACUCGUCUGUUAUGUAUUUCUCGGACCGGCGCGGACUAGGUGUCCUAAAGAGCGUUAGACGAAGUCUUAUGCGAGUUAUUUUAUUUAAAAAAUCUAUAUUUUUUUUAUCGGUACGAGUAUUAAAAUAGGUCACAUCUGAAUAUGUCAGAUCAUAGCUGACACCGCCAGAAAUUCGAGACAUUUGAGUCCGCGGAUUUAACAGCGGCAAUUUGUUAAAAAAUAAACGAAAUGGCCGUCGCGAAAAGAAAGCAUUCGGCGGUCGAAAAUAAAUUUGAUGCAGUCACCUGCAAGAGCUCCAGGUAAAAAAUGUUCACUAUUACUUGCUUUAGCUCUCUCCAUUUCAGCAAUGCCUUGUGCGGUAUUUUCGAACCUAGGUACGUUCCGGCUCUCUGUUUAAAAAUAUAGUGCAUGGACGACGUAUUUUCCAAAAUGUUUAGUUGAAAAUUCGCUUUCAACUGUUCUCGCCACGUAUAAUUUUCAGACAUGGCAAUACACAAAGAGAAGGAACAAUUUCCCUCGAAGAAAUCAAAAUUCCCGCAGAACAAAAUGGUAAAAACCACUGGGAAAAAACAAUGACUAUGGGCUCAUAUACAGCUGAUGAGAAGCAAAAGUGAAGCAUACACAAAGUAAAUUUUGUAUUUAGUGGUAAAACCACUGAUCUCAAAUAUCGUUUUAACGUAAAAGUAGAGAAAAAUAUCUUUCAAGUGAUGUGUUUUGGAGCAAAAUUGGAGCAUAGACGGUCGAAACAUCGUAGUUCAAAGAUAGCGAAUUUUGCAAUUUUAUCGUGGAUUGCCAUGCGAUGUUUACCGAAGGCAUUUUCUUCAUGGUUUUCAAAAGUAAAAAGGAAACAUCGAAAUUAGUCGUAUGGAGCUGUGAGACCCAAGAGUACCGGCGCCACAAACAAACCAAACUGCUGUGCGCUGCAAGUUGGAUGCAGUAAAGAUGGAAAAGAUGGAAAAGAUGGACAAAACGG